AUUCUUCCACGUUAAAUACAAUCAUCAAAGAAUACAUGUUCUAAAUGGUAAGAAAUUCCUCAAAUCGCCAAUUAUAAUCUUAUUUUCAAAACUAGCAAGAUGUUGAUAAAAAAAAAAUCAACAGUUAUUUGUUAUCACCAAUUUUGUUUUGAUGAGAAUUGAUUACUUCACAAACUAUACAUCUCCGUAGAAUAAUAAAAGCUCAUUUUUUCCCAUUUAAGUGAUGUUUUAUGCAACUAUAAAAAUUAUUUUUUGUUUUUAUAUUUUAAGAGAAAUAACUGUCCUGAUGAAAAGUAGUGUAGAUAUGCUACAUCCAUCUUCAAUAUGUCAAAUGAGUUGUUUAUAUGUUGGACCAAACCGUUUGUGAUAUGUAAGUUUGCAAGAUUGGGUCGUUAGAGUUUGGAUCGCUGGACCAUUGUGGCAACGGAUUUGCAGCUUCUUCAGCUUUUAAUACAAAUAAACAAUAGUAUUCAUUAAACAGUAUUAUGUAUAUUUUUGUAUUGUCAGGACUGCUUCAAAAAUAAUUUUUUAUUUACAAAAAAUUUGUUUAAUUAUUAAAUGUCCAAGUACUUUAUGUGUACAGGUGCUGAGUUUCUGACCAUGCUGGUGCUCUGACUUCCUCUUCUUCUUUCACAGACUAACCAUUACUAAAGAAACAGAUAAAUAGAAAGAAAGAUAAAUGAUCAAAUUAUUUUCUCCACACAAAAACAUAAUUACAAGCACAACUGCUUGUGAUUUGCUCAUGUUUUUCCAAGUAUCAUCGUUUGCAAAUGAAUAUGUUAUGCACCUAAGUAGAUUGUAUAACAAGCUGAUUUUGGCAUAAACAUCUUUACUUUUCCUUUAUGUGAAUUGCCAUACUCACCCUAUCACAAUUUCUAUAAAUAUCUUUGUGUUAUUAUUGUGUAUGUUUUCCUUAAUAAGACUUUAUUUUUUUAUUUUUUAGUUUAGUUUCUAUAAACAAUAAUGACUAUAUCUUUUGGGUUGUAUAAUCUAUAAAGAUCAUUUGUUGUUUUUUUUAAAUUGUAUAUAACAUAGAACUAAAAAUUAAAAUUAAAAACCAGUAUGCCACGUAGAAGGCCUGUAAGUACAAACUUGCAUAUGACACAGAAUGCUGAACAUCGCAGGAUAUAUUAAUCUAAUUUACUGAUUUACCCAUGUUGAAAAUAAAUGGUCUAAUAACAAUAAUUAUACACAUUUGAUCCAAAACGAAUUUUUCAGGGAAACAACUGCAUGACUAUGGUGCAAAUGUUGCAUAAAAAGAUGUACCUUCUAAUUGUGGCUUAAAUUAAAAACAACCUACACAAUAAUGGUGAAAAGGAGGGAUAAGAAAAAAUAUUUAUGUUUUGCUUAAAUUUCUUUCUUUUCUUUUUUUUUUUUUUGUAAGU